AAAAAGAGAGAAGGAAAGAGAAAAGAAAAUUAAAUUCCUUUAAAAACAUGUAUAUAAAAAUCACAUUUUCUCAUAUUGAGCGGGGACUUUCACCGAGGCAAUUACUGCAGUUGCUCCCAUUGUCUCUCCCAGUGAGCUCUGGUUCGCUCUGCCUUCUCCUCCUCCUGCCAUGCAGACCCAUUGAGCUCUGCCCCACCAUGGACGGAGCCACCGGGGCCACCUUCUGUCCCACAGAGCCCCCAGCCCCACCUUCUGCCUCCGCCCCCCCAGCUGUGUGCCCCCCUAUGGGGCUGCUGCAGCUGAACAUCGAGGCCGUGCCACGCUGCGUCUCCCCCGAACGUGGUGGACAGACCCUGCCUCAAGCUGAAGGUUUACGUUCGGCCGACGAACGAUUCCCUCUAUGAGUCCCCAGAGCCCAUCUUCACCAGCAACAACUCGUGCUGCAGCCUUGCAGUGCCGCGUGCCGUGCUGGUGGCUGCGCCGGUCUUCUGGACUCUGCUGGGCUCCUAGCGCCGCGGGACGGACGGACGGACGGACGGGACGGGACAGCCUCAGCACCACCACGGGACAGAACUGGGGCUGCACCACUGCCAGGAGCCUCACUGCACCCUGCCCGACCACAUCCUGCCCUGCACUGCAGCAGGGAAUGGGGACCCCGCCGUGCGCACGGAUUGCGCCCAUCCCCGCGGCAGCGACCCUCCCGUAGGAUGCUGCUUUUUACAUUUCUAGACCAAAUAUAGAGUCCUGUUGGGUGGUUUUUGGUUUUGGUUUUUGGU
rnacentral:lncRNA from 1 species